rnacentral:rRNA from 1 species
AUGGCCUCCCCGUGCCUGUCCUUCCCAUCAGUCACCAGUCACCACCACCACGAACAUGGAGCUCAGCCGUCCACCCUCUCUUCCUCCAUCAUUCCUGCUAUGCUGGUCUCCACCACCGCCUUCUCUAAGUUCACCUCCCCAUGUCGCGGUGUCUCUCCAUUAAGGGAGCUGCGUUGCUUCCCUCUCCAACAGGCCACCUUCCUCUCAUCUCAGAUCCCUCCGUCCGUGGUCAUGGAUGAUGUGCAGGCGGCCCGUGCUGCUCCUGGAGCUGCCCUUCUCCUCGAGCUUGGUGUUGCCGUGCUCUCCAACACCAUCUACAAGCGUCAGAUCCGGCAAGGCGGCCGAAGAACACCAGCAUCACGCCCUCCCCACCAUGGUAGGCCCAGCUCCUCCUCACGCUGGCGGUUGGCCUCCUCCAUCAAGGUCGUGGAACUCCCUCUCCUCUGCAGUGGCCUCAAGGUCGACACUACCACAGAAUUCGCCUCGCUUCAAAUUCCCCACUUCGUCCUGAUCUGGUUCAGCUAUAUACUAUGGCUGCUUCUUGGGAGGUUGGGAGUGGGGUAUCUCUAA